UGAACCGGGAAGAGCUCAAAUUUGUAAUCUGGCGUGCUUUGUGCGUCCGAGUUGUAAUCUAUAGAAGCGUUUUCCGUGCCGGACCGCGUCCCAAGUCCCUUGGAACAGGGUAUCAAAGAGGGUGACGAUCCCGUACUUGACGCGACGACCGGUGCUCUGUGAUACGUUCUCUACGAGUCGAGUUGUUUGGGAAUGCAGCUCAAAACGGGUGGUGAAUUCCAUCUAAGGCUAAAUAUUGGCGAGAGACCGAUAGCGAACAAGUACCGUGAGGGAAAGAUGAAAAGCACUUUGGAAAGAGAGUUAAACAGUAUGUGAAAUUGUUGAAAGGGAAACGAUUGAAGUCAGUCGUGAGCCCGGGAUUCAGCCGGCCCUGCCGGUCUACUUCUCGGGCUCGGGUCAACGUCAGUUCCCGUCGGUGGACAAGGGUUGUGGGAAUGUGGCUCCCCCUCGGGGGAGUGUUAUAGCCCGCUGCCGCAUACGCCGGUGGGGACUGAGGGAUGCAGCUCGCCUUUAUGGCCGGGGUUUCGGCC
rnacentral:rRNA from 1 species